CAGUCAUACCAACGGGAAAUCAACCUUUUGAGCUCGGUCUCGUGGGUUUUGAAGAGUUUCAAAGCCUUCGGAUUCGCGGGAUUGGGAUCUCUCGGUGUACUUUCUCGUACGGUUAGUCAACAUCGGUUUUGAAUGUCAUAAAAUGACUGGAGGAAUGUAGCUUCGAUCUCGUAUUGGAAUGGUUAUACCCUUUGGUAGAUGUGAUGUUUGAGACCGAGGAUUGCAACGGAUACCCUUCAGGGCUAUUCGUCUGAUCUCUGAUACGUUGCCCUGAUGUUGAAAGCUUGCUUAUGAUGUUAGGGUAUUACGGUCAAAAGGUUAGAACUCAUUAGA
rnacentral:rRNA from 2 species